CCGAGAAUAUUCGACAAUGGGCGAAAGCCUGAUCGAGCGACGCCGCGUGAUUGAUGAAGUCCUUCGGGACGUAAAGAUCUUUUAUGAGCGACUAAGUUAUUGAAGAGCUCAUGAAUAAGGAGUUGCUAAACUCGUGCCAGCAGCAGCGGUAAUACGAGUGCUCCAAGCGUUAUCCGGAAUUAUUGGGCGUAAAGGGUGUGUAGGCGGUUUUGUUAGUCUUUUGUUAAAGCUUCGGGCUCAACCCGAAAAGUGCAAAGGAAACGGCAAACCUAGAGGAUGCGAGAGGUGAACAGAACUCAUAGUGUAGGGGUGAAAUCCGUUGAUAUUAUGGGGAAUACCAAAUGCGAAGGCAGUUCACUGGCGCACUCCUGACGCUGAAACACGAAAGCGUGGGUAGCGAAUGGGAUUAGAUACCCCUGUAGUCC
rnacentral:rRNA from 1 species